rnacentral:rRNA from 1 species
CCUAUAAAUUUAAGAGGAAUAAGAAAAUAAAAAUUAUAGACGUACAUGCUAGCUAAAUAGCAAACAAGUGAAAAAUAAAAUUACUAAUAUAUAAAUAAUAAUUUUUUAAAGUAAACAAUUUAUUGCAUAAAACUAUCUAACAGAUCACAUUUAAAAAAGCAACACAUAACAUUGUGCAAUAUGUAAAACAUGACACAGCAUCAAUCCUUAUAACAAGAACAAGCAAAGAAUGUGCCAGCAGCCGCGGCCAAACAUUCUGUACUAAUUUUCAACACAACAACGUAAAAAAGAAAAGACAAUAAUAGAAAAUUGAACAAUAAUAAAUAGUAAAAUAUAUAAAUAAUAAUUCAACCAAAUCUAUUUUCUAAAAAAAAAUUCUUCUACACUAAAGCAUAGAUCACCAAAAGGAUUAGAUACCCUCGUAGCCUAUGCCCUAAAUAACAAGAACAAGUAUGCUCGCAAGACAGAAACUUAAUAAAUUUGAGAGAGUGAGAAAACUCAGGGAAGCGUAUACUUUAAUUCGAAACUACACGAAAAUCUUACCUAAAUUUAAAAGUAAGAUAUCUCCGCAUAUUGUUUUUAUAAAAAGAACAAAAAUACACUACACGACAUAUGCCGGUCACCACCUUCUUCAUAUUUAGGGCCAGUAAGCGCCACAAACUAUUAUUUUUCACUAAUAGUUCCUACAAUUGAAAAAUAUAAAGGAGAACUUGAAAGUAAUUAUCCCAAAUUAAAGUAUAAUGAAACAAAUAUAAAACUGCUACAAACCGCCCGUCAAUUCUUAAGAAAAAUAUAAAAAACAAUACUAAAAAAAAAGACAAAUAAAUUACUACAAUUUACAAACAAAAUUAAGAAUAAGUCGUAACAAGGUAGCCGUAUCUGAAGAUGCGGCUAAAAAUAA